UACGUAGGGUGCGAGCGUUGUCCGGAAUUAUUGGGCGUAAAGAGCUCGUAGGCGGUUUUGUCGCGUCGGAUGUGAAAGCCCGGGGCUUAACUCCGGGUCUGCAUUCGAUACGGGCAGGCUAGAGUUCGGUAGGGGAGAUCGGAAUUCCUGGUGUAGCGGUGAAAUGCGCAGAUAUCAGGAGGAACACCGGUGGCGAAGGCGGAUCUCUGGGCCGAUACUGACGCUGAGGAGCGAAAGCGUGGGGAGCGAACAGG
rnacentral:rRNA from 1 species